AUUGAACGCUGGCGGCAGGCCUAACACAUGCCAGUCGAACGGUAACAGAAAGCAGCUUGCUGCUUUGCUGACGAGUGGCGGACGGGUGAGUAAUGUCUGGGAAACUGCCUGAUGGAGGGGGAUAACUACUGGAAACGGUAGCUAAUACCGCAUAACGUCGCAAGACCAAAGAGGGGGACCUUCGGGCCUCUUGCCAUCGGAUGUGCCCAGAUGGGAUUAGCUAGUAGGUGGGGUAACGGCUCACCUAGGCGACGAUCCCUAGCUGGUCUGAGAGGAUGACCAGCCACACUGGAACUGAGACACGGUCCAGACUCCUACGGGAGGCAGCAGUGGGGAAUAUUGCACAAUGGGCGCAAGCCUGAUGCAGCCAUGCCGCGUGUAUGAAGAAGGCCUUCGGGUUGUAAAGUACUUUCAGCGGGGAGGUAGGGAGUAAAGUUAAUACCUUUGCUCAUUGACGUUACCCGCAGAAGAAGCACCGGCUAACUCCGUG
rnacentral:rRNA from 1 species